CAAGUCGAACGGCAGCACGGGGGCAACCCUGGUGGCGAGUGGCGAACGGGUGAGUAAUGCAUCGGAACGUGCCCAUCGAUGGGGGAUAACUGCGCGAAAGCGUUGCUAAUACCGCAUACGACCUACGGGUGAAAGCAGGGGACCGCAAGGCCUUGCGUCGAUGGAGCGGCCGAUGCCGGAUUAGCUAGUUGGUGAGGUAAAGGCUCACCAAGGCGACGAUCCCGUAGCUGGUCUGAGAGGACGACCAGCCACACUGGGACUGAGACACGGCCCAGACUCCUACGGGAGGCAGCAGUGGGGAAUCUUGGACAAUGGGCGAAAGCCUGAUCCAGCAUGCCGCGUGUGGGAAGAAGGCCUCGGGUUGUAAACCACUUUUGGCGGGAAAGAAAUGGUCUGUGCUAAUACCACGGAUUGAUGACGGUACCCGCAGAAUAAGCACCGGCUAACUACGUG
rnacentral:rRNA from 1 species